AUACGUACCUGACAGGGCAGAUAGCAUGAUCACAAAGGUGGUACUCCCAGGGCGAGGCCUAUUCAUUGCACUCUGAAUGUACUGAUCCCUGCAAUUUCUCCAAAUGUGGGAAACUUGACUGCAUAAUUUGUGGUAGUUGGAAACUUGACUGCAUAAUUUGUGGUAGUUGGGGACUGUGUUCACACUUUCGCCUG
rnacentral:snRNA from 1 species